rnacentral:misc_RNA from 1 species
GCAAACUUGGUCAUUUAGAGGAAGUAAAAGUCGUAACAAGGUUUCCGUAGGUGAACCUGCGGAAGGAUCAUUAAAGAUGUGAAACGGCAUGAAGGGUUGUUGCUGGCCUCUUGUUGUGGGGGGCAUGUGCACACCUGGAUUGCUUAAAUCCAACCCUUUAUAUACCUGUGCACACCCCUGUAGCUUAGGAGAGACCCUGUCAGGUCACCUCUGCUAUGCCUUUUUGUUUAUACACACCCUUGUACAAAAGUUUUAUGGAAGUGGAUGCAAAACAAAUACAACUUUCAGCAACGGAUCUCUUGGCUCUCGCAUCGAUGAAGAACGCAGC